GCAUGCACACCUAGAUUCGCCUUGUCGAAUGCCACUCGAUCCCCAUUCCUUCACAUGAUCUUGCACCCCGCUUUCCUAUCGUCCAAAGCCUACUACAGUAGCCAAAAGCUGCACUGCAUAAAGACAUUGUAAAAACACCAACAGCUAAAAUCAUGCAUCCUCUUCACUUCUUCAGGCCAUCAACACUACUAUAGCUGAAGCUGGAGCAAGAUUUUUUUUUUU
rnacentral:lncRNA from 1 species